rnacentral:rRNA from 1 species
GAGUUUGAUCAUGGCUCAGAUUGAACGCUGGCGGCAGGCCUAACACAUGCAAGUCGAACGGUAACAGGAAACAGCUUGCUGUUUCGCUGACGAGUGGCGGACGGGUGAGUAAUGUCUGGGAAACUGCCUGAUGGAGGGGGAUAACGUACUGGAACGGUAGCUAUACCGCAUAACGUCGCAAGACCAAAGAGGGGGACCUUCGGGCCUCUUGCCAUCGGAUGUGCCAGAUGGGAUUAGCUUGUUGGUGGGUAACGGCUCACCAAGGCGACGAUCCCUAGCUGGUCUGAGAGGAUGACCAGCCACACUGGAACUGAGACACGGUCCAGACUCCUACGGGAGGCAGCAGUGGGGAAUAUUGCACAAUGGGCGCAAGCCUGAUGCAGCCAUGCCGCGUGUAUGAAGAAGGCCUUCGGGUUGUAAAGUACUUUCAGCGGGGAGGAAGGGAGUAAAGUUAAUACCUUUGCUCAUUGACGUUACCCGCAGAAGAAGCACCGGCUAACUCCGUGCCAGCAGCCGCGGUAAUACGGAGGGUGCAAGCGUUAAUCGGAAUUACUGGGCGUAAAGCGCACGCAGGCGGUUUGUUAAGUCAGAUGUGAAAUCCCCGGGCUCAACCUGGGAACUGCAUCUGAUACUGGCAAGCUUGAGUCUCGUAGAGGGGGUAGAAUUCCAGGUGUAGCGGUGAAUGCGUAGAGAUCUGGAGGAAUACCGGUGGCGAAGGCGGCCCCCUGGACGAAGACUGACGCUCAGGUGCGAAAGCGUGGGGAGCAAACAGGAUUAGAUACCCUGGUAGUCCACGCCGUAAACGAUGUCGACUUGGAGGUUGUGCCCUUGAGGCGUGGCUUCCGGAGCUAACGCGUUAAGUCGACCGCCUGGGGAGUACGGCCGCAAGGUUAAAACUCAAAAUGGAAUUGACGGGGGCCCGCACAAGCGGUGGAGCAUGUGGUUUAAUUCGAUGCAACGCGAAGAACCUUACCUGGUCUUGACAUCCACAGAACUUUCCAGAGAUGGAUUGGUGCCUUCGGGAACUGUGAGACAGGUGCUGCAUGGCUGUCGUCAGCUCGUGUUGUGAAAUGUUGGGUUAAGUCCCGCAACGAGCGCAACCCUUAUCCUUUGUUGCCAGCGGUCCGGCCGGGAACUCAAAGGAGACUGCCAGUGAUAAACUGGAGGAAGUGGGGAUGACGUCAAGUCAUCAUGGCCCUUACGACCAGGGCUACACACGUGCUACAAUGGCGCAUACAAAGAGAAGCGACCUCGCGAGAGCAAGCGGACCUCAUAAAGUGCGUCGUAGUCCGGAUUGGAGUCUGCAACUCGACUCCAUGAAGUCGGAAUCGCUAGUAAUCGUGGAUCAGAAUGCCACGGUGAAUACGUUCCCGGGCCUUGUACACACCGCCCGUCACACCAUGGGAGUGGGUUGCAAAAGAAGUAGGUAGCUUAACCUUCGGGAGGGCGCUUACCACUUUGUGAUUCAUGACUGGGGUGAAGUCGUAACAAGGUAACCGUAGGGGAACCUGCGGUUGGAUCACC